rnacentral:rRNA from 1 species
AUUGAACGCUGGCGGAAUGCUUUACACAUGCAAGUCGAACGGCAGCACGGACUUCGGUCUGGUGGCGAGUGGCGAACGGGUGAGUAAUAUAUCGGAACGUGCCCAGUCGUGGGGAUAACGUAGCGAAAGCUACGCUAAUACCGCAUACGAUCUACGGAUGAAAGCGGGGGAUCGCAAGACCUCGCGCGAUUGGAGCGGCCGAUAUCAGAUUAGGUAGUUGGUGAGGUAAAGGCUCACCAAGCCGACGAUCUGUAGCUGGUCUGAGAGGACGACCAGCCACACUGGGACUGAGACACGGCCCAGACUCCUACGGGAGGCAGCAGUGGGGAAUUCUGGACAAUGGACGCAAGUCUGAUCCAGCCAUUCCGCGUGCAGGACGAAGGCCUUCGGGUUGUAAACUGCUUUUGUACAGAACGAAAAGGUCUCUAUUAAUACUAGGGGCUCAUGACGGUACUGUAAGAAUAAGCACCGGCUAACUACGUGCCAGCAGCCGCGGUAA